rnacentral:rRNA from 1 species
GACGAACGCUGGCGGCGUGCUUAACACAUGCAAGUCGAACGAGUGGCGAACGGGUGAGUAAUACGUGGGUAACCUGCCCUCUUUUUGGGAUAAGCCUUGGAAACGGGGUCUAAUACCGAAUAAAGGGGGAUGGGCUCGCGGCCUAUCAGCUUGUUGGUGGGGUGAUGGCCUACCAAGGCGGUGACGGGUAGCCGGCCUGAGAGGGUGACCGGCCACAUUGGGACUGAGAUACGGCCCAGACUCCUACGGGAGGCAGCAGUGGGGAAUAUUGGACAAUGGGCGCAAGCCUGAUCCAGCCAUACCGCGUGGGUGAAGAAGGCCUUCGGGUUGUAAAGCCCUUUUGUUGGGAAAACGGUACCCAAAGAAUAAGCACCGGCUAACUUCGUGCCAGCCGCCGCGGUAAUUC